UCUGCUUCACGGAGGCAUUCUUCUUCCAAGCGGGAUCUCAGGCAAGAUGAUCAUUUCCCUACAUACCAUUACUAUCAUUGCCAUGCUAGUUUUACCGUUCCUAUCGUUUAUGUCUCGUUGCCUACCACAUGUUAAAUAUCAGCCUCUCACCAAUGCCAUGAAACCUUCAACCUGUUCGACCUAGCAAACCACUGAUUGGCUAUGUUACUGCUUGCUUAACCCUGUGUUGGCGUUGCUAGUUGCAGGUGCAGAUGCUUCCAUGUGAAAGCAUGGGUUCCUUGUUAUAUCACCAUAUUAAAUGCUAUUUAAUUUAAUGCACCUAUAUACUUGGUAAAAGGUGGAAGGCUCGGCCUUUCUAGCCUGGUGUUUUGUUCCACCUUUGCCCCCUUAGUUACCGGCUACCGGUGUUAUGUUCCAUAAUUGAGCGCUCCUAACACGAUCGGGGUUGUUAUGGGGAACCCCUUGAUAAUUCGUUUUAGAUUAAGACUGGUUUGGCAAGGCCCAACAUUGGUACUACAUUUGCCUAAUCACCUAAUAAAAUUGCAUAGGGACCCGCCGGCACCCGUGGACUAUUUUAAUCAACCCCCGGGCCAGUGCUCCUCAUGAGUGUUGGUCCAAAACAGAGCAGCUUAUUAACGCUACCCGGGGCAACUCGGCGUUUGGCGUGGUAACCAUCGCUCAUCCGUCGUGUCCUGAGAACGAGGUACGCGACUCCUAUCGGGAUCGUCGACACGUCGGGCGGCCUUGCUGGAUUAGUUUUACCUUUGACGAGAUAUCUUGUGCAUCGGGAUUCCGGUGAUGCUUUGGGUAAUCUCAAAGUUGAGGUUUUCCACUAGGGAAUCCGAGGAGAUCGCGAGCUUCGCGAUUGAGGAUUUCUAUGUGGCUUGUGGUAAUUUGUGAUGGACUAGUUGGAGCACCCCUGCAGGGUUAAAUCUUUCGGAAAGCCGUGCCUGCAGUUAUGUGGCAACGUGGAAACUUUGUUUAACACUGGUUCUAGAUAACUUGAAGUUAACUUAAUUAAAACAUGCCAACUGUGUGCGUAACCGUGACUGUCUCUUUCGUGAGUUCUUUCUCCGAUCGAGGACACGGUGGGGUUAUGACUGACGUAGGUAGGUGUUCAGGAUCAUUCAUUUGAUCAUCUGUAGUUCACGUCCGCUAUGCGUAGAUCUUCCCCCUCUUAUUUCUGGUACUCGUAAGUUAGCCACCAAAUAUAUGCUUAGUCGCUGCUGCAACCUCACCACUUAACCUUACCUCACCCAAUUAAGCUUUGCUAGUCUUGAUACCUUUGGAAAUGAGAUUGCUGAGUCCCCUGUGGCUCAGAGAUUACUACAACAGCAGUUGCAGGUACAGGUAAAGGUUACUUGACGCGAGCGCGUUGAUUGUUCAUUUGGAGUUGCUUCUUCUUCUACUUCAUCGAUCUAGGAUGGGUUCCAGGCCGACAGCCUGGGAUAGCAAGGAUGGACGUCGUUCUUCUUUUGUCGUUUGUUUUCGUCCGUAGUCGGACCCUGCUCUUACUCUUGAUGAUUAUGUAAUGUACUGAUGUGACUCUGAUGUAGCUUGUGGCGAGUGUAAGCCAAUUCUAUAUAUCUCUUCUUUUCAGUACAUGUACUUGUAAAGAUAUCCAUUCUUGCGACACGACGAGAUGCGCUUCUAUCCCUGACGAGG
rnacentral:lncRNA from 1 species